UCCGGUGACCAUAGCGGAGAGGAUACACCCGUUCCCAUCUCGAACACGGUAGUUAAGCUCUCCAGCGCCGAUGGUACUUGGGUUCUUACCCUGGGAGAGUAGGCCGUCGCCGGAA
rfam:Peptococcaceae bacterium BRH_c8a BRHa_1003792, whole genome shotgun sequence.